UCCAUUUCCUUCACUUUCAGGUCUCUGUCAGAUAUCGGAGUUCCAGGAACACAGUGGCGGGCCAUUUGUCACAACUGGUUUGCUGUGUAUGAAGAUGUAAAGCCAUUUUUUUAAUGUGUGUCCCUCAUCGUGACAACACCACCAUCUGAGCAAGAACUUAAGCGAUGGGUCAUAGGUGCCCAUCAUUUCUUGCAGCUGUGUGGUACCUGACAGCAAAUGGCUCCUGCUCUAAAUAAAAAUUGUUGGCAACUUCUCCCCAUAAGGAAAUGAGAGCCACCAAAGGGGUAAGGACUUCAGUCCUACAUUUUCUGAAGAAGAAGGCGUAUUGGCUCCUUUGUCGUUCGUGACCAUGCUUAGACCAGCCAAGUGUGACCAGGGAGGCAGACACAGCUGUGAAAUGGGAGUGGGAGUGAAGCAGAAAAGGCAAAACACGAUUUCCAAUCCAAAAAAGCCCUUUUGAUCA